rnacentral:SRP_RNA from 2 species
GCCAGGCAUGGUGGCGGGUGCCUGUAAUCCCAGCUACUCGGGAGGCUGAGGCAGGAGAAUCACUUGAACCCGGGAGAUGGAGGUUUUGGUGAGCCAAGAUCGUGCCACUGAACUCCAGCCUGGGUGACAGAGUGAGACUCCGUCUCAA